rnacentral:lncRNA from 1 species
UCCUUCAAAAACUAGAUAAAUAAUACUAUUGCUAUCCGGUUUCUUCAAAUAAGUUUUUAGGGUUUGUGAUUUUGGAUUUCUUGGAUUCUUUAACUAUUGCUAAUAGGCAGAAAAGAUUGCAACAUUGGUGAAAGCAGCCAAUGUGCAAAUUGAAUCUUACUGGCCAGGCUUAUUUGCUAAGCUUGCUGAGAAGCGCAACAUUGAGGACCUCAUCAUGAAUGUUGGCUCUGGUGGUGGUGCUGCUGUUGCUGUUGCUGCCCCAGCUGGUGGUGCACCUGCCGCCGCCGCCGCUCCUGCCGCUGAGGAGAAGAAGGUGAGAAGAAAGCAACAAAUCGGAUUUGUUGAAUUGGGUGGUGGUUGUUUGAGGUACUUGAUAUUUCUAACUGUUGUGUGAUUCGUUUUAUUAAUUUUACAGGAAC